AUCUGAAGAUCCCCCUUCCCACCCCCACUAUUUACUUUAUAAUCUAAACCCAGCAUAUUCAUGUAUAUCCUGCUUUCUAUGAAAUUUAUGCUUGUAUGCAUAUGAAGCAUCCUUCUUUUGAGUGGUGUCCUUUCCUAUCGUAUGGUUCCCAUAACAACUUUAUCCUGUGCCUUAGGUUUCAAAUGUAUACACUGUAUAUCGUAAUGCAACAUGUUUAGAGUAUAUGUCUGCUUAUGCCGUGUUCACAUAAUUGUUUAACAUAUGCUGUCCAGCUCUGAGCUGGUUCACUCAAAUUUCCUCUUGAUGAUUGAUGAUCUUGCACUUACUAUGUUGGGAGGUAUUACACCAUAUCCUCUAGCUUUGCUGCAGGUUGAUUGUGGUUGGGUCAAGUAGGGUAGGCUAAGGACAUGUUCCAGACCCAACUUCUCUGUUUUAAGCACCACUUCCUUGCACGUAGGUAGAACAUAAAACUGUCUAGGAUUGUUUGCUAAAAGUGCAUGCUUGCAGGGUUAAUUUAUCACGUGAUUGUUUGUCUCGACGGAUUUGCUCAAUGUGUUGAUCACAAGAUUAUGACUAAUGGUCCCAAGGUGACUAGCAUUUCCUUUCUGUAUCCUAUAUAAGCUGUAGGAUGUCUAAUAAACUUUGGUCUAUGUUUGAACUGCAUUUCGGUGUCAGUGUCUUUCAUGGUCCCCUGAUAUAUAUCAGACUUCUCUGCUGCUCAUCUCAGACCUCAUCGAGCUACCUCAGUGCAGAAAACUAAAGAAACUUUCAUACCUCUAGACCUGCUUAGAAUUAGAUUCUAACAGUUGGGCGCUCGUCCGGCGAAAGGGGGGAGAUCCUCCGACAGAUCCGGAGACCGAAAAUUCGAACACCGCAGAUCGGGAAGGACCUACAAAAGGGGUAAGUGUCUGCGAUAUUUCUAAUUUUGAAAUACAGCGCUUACCCCCUGUAGUGUCCGGUCUUGUGACUCGAGACAAGAUUUUUAAUUCACUCGGGGCCGAAAAGGCAUGUAGCAGGUGCUACAGAAUAUAACGAGUGAGGUGCUCGCUUCGAAGGACAGAGGGAUUUGGUCGAGAUUAAAUUCGAACACUAAGUUCCGUGAAUAGCUGGAGUUGAAUACUGCCAGCUACAUAGCUAGACUAUGGAUCGAAGCGAAGUCAAAUAUACAGCUGGAGCUCACUGUAUAUUUGGGAUCGCGGUGUUGGUAAAUUGUUAUUUAAUCGUAUAUUUUACGAGCGCGGCCCGUGUUGAAUAAGCUGAUUGGAAAUAAGCUAACAGUAAGCUAGUAUUUGCAUAUGCCCUUUUGAAUGAAAUUGUGAACAAAUAAAAUUUGGACUAAUUCGCUGAAAUUGAAUUUGCAAUUUUGAAAUAAUAAAUUGCUAAAUCGAUGACUGAAUUUUACAAUACGAAUUGACAAGUGAAUGUCUAAAAUCUAUGAACGGUACGAAAUUAUAACUGAGGCUGAGCGGAGGAGCACAGAAAACCCCGGGUGUUUGUCUAUUGCUUAUUUGUGCUUAUUGCUGUUUGCUUGUUAUUGCUGCUAUUAUUUGUUUACAUUGUGUUGAAGAUGGGUGAUUCUGCUACGGCCAGGCAAAAGCCUGAUGAAUUUAUGUAUACAAAUAAUAGAGGUUUUUAUGUUGAACUGUACGUCACUUAGCGGUUAGUAAUAUAAUAACUUUGCAUUGAAAAACCCCAACGCAAGAUGCGCUGCCAUAUUUUAUGUCGAAUAGUAGGCUAAAAGCCUAAGUUUAUCGUUGCCACAAAUUGCUGUAAAAUACGUGAAUGUUUUGCAAUCUCACAAGAGGUAUGCACACGUAACAGGGGCAGAUUUGUGCUAUUUUGUUGAAAACAUUACCGAUGUAACAAAAAACAUAACUGAUACGUGCUGCUGUCUGAUUCGGGAAAACCAUGUGACUGGAGGUGAGGGGACUGCAGCCUCUCGCAAUCCACUCACACGGGAAGAUCAUGAAUAUCAUGAUAUGCUUUUUUGAUCAGCUGCGCGUUCUUCUAAAUAAACGGUUUGGCAUUUACCAGUAUUUAUCAUUUGCAUUAAACGGAAAGAUAAAACCAAAUGAAACUGCCUCUGAAUUUUGCACACGUUUUAAAGCAUUAUGAGUCUAUUCUAGAUUACCGAUUGACAAAGUCUGAGUGCGCUGUUACAAAUAUGCUGUUGAAUAAUAUGAAUCGUAGGUACCGGUAAGUGAAAUCUGUUGGAUAUGAAUGUGAAUAGAUUGAUUUGUGAGUCUGAUGCAUCUGGUGAACAUGCUAUGUUUUCAGUGCAAGUCUCAUCGAACGGGAAAAGGCUUGCUUAAGCACCGGAAAGGAAACUGAGAUUUGAUAUAAUGUGUUAUUAUGUGGACAAAGGGGCCACAUGAAAUGUGACUGUCGUUCAAAAGGGGGGUGAAAUUUUAUUCCAAGGGCGCAACCACGUAGACAGUCAAUGCAACAGCCAAAGCAAGUGCAUCAGAAACUAUCUGACAGUAAUUACCAGACAAACUGGCAUAACAAAACACAAUGAAAUGUUCUGACCCAUUACACCACCUCUGGAGGUAAGAGCUCCAGGUGUCAAACCAUUUUUUUCUUCACAAAUUUCAAAUCAUACCAGAUGUUUGUCUUAAUUUGCUCGGGCGAGACAUAAUGCAUAAGUUAAAAAUGGAAUUUCAUGAUUCUCAUGUUGUUUUCUCUUUUAUGUCAUGUUUACAGACAUACAGUGAUCCUCUGCCUAUGGGGGGAGGAAGUGAGAAGGCCGACCAAGACCCAGUAGCCGCCCGCAUACCACAUGAUGUAGACACCUUGAUUAACCCAUGCCUAUGAACUCAGUCAAACAAUGAUACAGGUUUCAUUGAUAUGAAACCAUACAAAGGUGUCCUCGUACCUACUCGCCAUACAACACACCGAUUAACCCGGUGGUGAAUGCUGAUGGAAAGACAUAAUGUCUUACACAAGAUUUAAGAGCACUCAAUAAACUAAUUCCUCUGUCUCUGAUUGUUCCAGAUGUGCCGACUGUUAUAAAUUUUUCCAUGCACAUACGUAUUUCUGUCAUUGAUUUGUGUGCUGCUUUUGUUUCUCUGUUCCAGUGCAUCCAGACACACAGCCACUGCUAGCCUUAUAGGAUAGGGGGCGCAAGAACUAAGAAGGGUAUGUUGACUCACCAUCCGUCCUCUCCGCUGCAGUGGAAAAAAGACAUUGAAAAAAAAAAGAUCAACUUCCUAUUUUCGGGUUUGCUGUCUGCUGUAUGCCGAUGACAUCAUGGUCUCUGCUCUGACUGAAAAGAACUGUGAGAAAGCCUCCAUUAUCGUCUGCAAUAUUCUGGUGGACGCUGGUUUCAAAGCAUCAAAAAACAGCUCCAGUGGGUCAAGAAAAAGUUCUCGUGCCUGGGUCACAUCAUAAUACCAGGUCUUCAAAAAACCUCCACAGUUCAGAUUGAACUGAUCUAGAAGAUUAAAUUACCACGAACUGUGUAACAGCUCCAAAGUUUUCUGGAGUUCAUAAACUGUUGUCGCUCAUGGAAACCUGAGUGUGCUGCCCAUGACGGACAUUUGCAGAGCCUGAUUGAUCACAAGGCAUCGCCUGCAUCACUGAUAUGCUGGACUGAUGAAGCAGAGACUCAUUUCAUGGCACUGAAACACGCCAUUACUGCGGCCACAACUCUGGGCCAUCCGAACUAUGCAAAAACUUUUUACCUGCAUGCGUGAGAGGCGAAGGGUGUGGCUCUGGGUAUCCUUUGGCAACAACAAGGUUGCACUUAUAGGCCAGUGGCAUAUCUGUCUAGAAAACUAGAUCAUGUAGUUCCAGGUAUGCCUGAAAUGUCUUUAUGCAGUGGCUGCUGAUGUUCUGUUUGUACAGGUGGCUGAGAGAACGGUGCUGUCACAGUCAAUGACUCUACACAUCACAUCAAGUAGGUGCAUUUUUACACAACACAGGAUGGCACAGAGGCGAUCUGGGUAUGAGGCUACGCUGUUGGCAACCAAAAAUGUAACGAUCCAGCCCACUUUUAACAUUAAUUCCACUUUUGCUGGGAGUUUUGGGACUGGUAGAUAUGACUGAGCACGAUCUAAAACAUGAUUGCAUUGUUGAAUUGACCACUUCCUGUUCCUCUAGGGCCGAUUUAAUGGACUCGCCCCUAGAUGGGGGGGUCAGAUCUAUGUGGAUGGCUUAUAUGCAAAGCCAUCGGACGGUGUCUACCUGUGUGGUUAUGCUGUGGUGUCGGAUACUGGUGAGGUUAUUGAAGCCUUUGCUCUAAAUUGCAACUCAGCACAAGCUGCAGAAUUGGUAUUUCUAUUACGAGCUUGUGAGCUAAUGAAAGGAAAAAAGCCACAAUCUACACGACUCAAAAUAUGUGUAUUCUAAAUUUUGUAAAAACAUGGGAAGCCUGAGAUUUUAAGACAGCAGAUGGUAAGCCUAUAGUUUAUUCAAAUUUGAUAUGACGGUUGACAAAAGCAGUACAGCUACCGUCUGAAGUGGCAAUAGUGAAAGUAAAAGGUCAUGAAUCAGGAAAUGAUGACCAGGCUGUGGGAAACAAGAAGAGCAGAUGAGGCUGCAAAAGAAGCAGCUCAAGCUCAAAUUAAAUCACUAUUUGAGUAUGAUGUCAAAACAGACCUUGCUAUGGUUGUGCAAGUGACUAACAUGAAAUUGAUAUAAAAUUUUUGCAGAGUCAACCAACGCAGGCUGACCUCGAAUAUUGGAGCAAGUACGGAUGUGCAGCAGACGAGAAAGGGAGAGUAGCACUUCCAAAACUGGGACUGGUAAUUUUAAUAAGAUAUUACCAUGGUCUAUCACAUACCAGUAGUACAAAGGUGACACAAGCAAUUAAUCCAUUUUAUUAUAUUGCAGAUGUAAAGAAAACCAACAAAUUGAUUUUGGACUCAUGUUUAACCUGUGCAAAAUUGAACCCGCAUCGAAAACCAAAACAUGUAGCGUUGCCACACUUGAGGCACCUUUUUAACAUGAUCAGAUUGAUUUCACGCAUGCUGCCGAUUGGAAAUCUGAAAUAUCUUUUUUAUCCCAUAGAGGAUGCGCAAAAUUUGACAAAAGGAAAUUAUUCCUCGUUUUGGCAUACCAAAACAAUUGAAUCCGACAACGGGACAUUUUUGUGUCCAAAGUAACGUAGCUCUAAGCUAAAGCGCUGUCUAUUGAUUGGCAUUUUAAUAUUAAACGCGAAAAUUAAACAGAGGAUAACCAAAGCUGCGUUAGAAACGGAAAAAAAAAAAGGGUAGAUUUGCUACCUGCUUUAUUAUACGAAAUAAGAAUGACUCCAUCUUCAACCAAACAAUUGUCUUCAUUUGAAAUACUAAUGGGUAGGCCAUUUCCCACCCCGUGGGUCAAAGGCCGCGCAGGCGUUUCUUCCCCAGGUGACCUGGAGGUGAUACAAGAAGACUACGUGGUGUCCAUAAUUGAGAAAUUGAACUCUAUCUGUACUAAUUUUCUUUGUCUCUCCCCUCAGAAAAGCCAACUUACAUUUUGCUCCAGGACAGGUUGUUCUAAAUAGGAGCCUGAAGCCCACGCUGGUAUGAGAGCCAAAAUACCUCGGCCCAGAUAAGGUGAUGGCUGUGACAAAGAUGGGAGUUCUGAUUGACAACCAGCUACAGUGGAUUCACGCCUCAGGGUUGAAGUACCACUCUGCCACGGAGCAGGACACCGGAGACAAACCCAGACAACGACUGCUAGUCAUGGAGAUCAACAGAGAACAACGAGUGAGAGAUCUUGAUGGAAGUUCCACUGCCGAGAGGAUUCGAACCGUGUAUAGUGACCAAAGCUUUCAUCAUCUUCAGCGAGCACAUUGUGGAAGCAGAGCAAAGAGUAAUGGAAGACAACGAACGCAUCACACAACCGACCCUGCAAAAGGGAUUCGUAGAUCAUAUGCUGUGGUAUAUGUGUUUAUUUUGAAUGAUGGUGAUCUGAAAGUUUAUAGGAAAAAUAAAAUAAUAAAGUUCUUGGUUUAUUGAAGAAAAAAAGGGGUUAUUUAGUAAAGUGCAAUUUAAUAAACUAUUUGUAACUAUUUGAUUUCUGAAAUUAGGAAAUGUAUUUUCUUAAAGUAUAUGAAACCAGUGCUUUCCAGAUGUGUACCCAUAACCCUGUUAUAUGCCGUGAGAAAUUGAGGGUAACAUUAACUGUGUAGAACAAACAAUGCAUGCCAUAAAUAAUGUAUCUGGAGUAAAUGGAUUAGUGAUAACUCGACCGAUUGCAAUUUCUGGGUGUGGGAAGAAUUGUGAUCCACUAUCGUGUAUCAAAGGGGCCAUUGUGAGAAUCUAAAGAUGCCCCUUCCCACCCCCACUAUUUACUUUAUAAUCUAAACCGAGCAUAUUCAUGUAUAUCCUGCUUUCUAUGAAAUUUAUGCUUGUAUGCAUAUGAAGCAUCCUUCUUUUGAGUGGUGUCCUUUCCUAUGGUAUGGUUCCCAUAACAACUUUAUCCUGUGCCUUAGGUUUCAAAUGUAUACACUGUAUAUCGUAAUGCAACAUGUUUAGAGUAUAUGUCUGCUUAUGCCGUGUUCACAUAAUUGUUUAACAUAUGCUGUCCAGCUCUGAGCUGGUUCACUCAAAUUUCCUCUUGAUGAUUGAUGAUCUUGCACUUACUAUGUUGGGAGGUAUUACACCAUAUCCUCUAGCUUUGCUGCAGGUUGAUUGUGGUUGGGUCAAGUAGGGUAGGCUAAGGACAUGUUCCAGACCCAACUUCUCUGUUUUAAGCACCACUUCCUUGCACGUAGGUAGAACAUAAAACUGUCUAGGAUUGUUUGCUAAAAGUGCAUGCUUGCAGAGUUAAUUUAUCACGUGAUUGUUUGUCUCGACGGAUUUGCUCAAUGUGUUGAUCACAAGAUUAUGACUAAUGGUCCCAAGGUGACUAGCAUUUCCUUUCUGUAUCCUAUAUAAGCUGUAGGAUGUCUAAUAAACUUUGGUCUAUGUUUGAACUGCA